GAUGAACGCUGGCGGCGUGCCUAAUACAUGCAAGUCGAGCGAACAGACGAGGAGCUUGCUCCUCUGACGUUAGCGGCGGACGGGUGAGUAACACGUGGAUAACCUACCUAUAAGACUGGGAUAACUUCGGGAAACCGGAGCUAAUACCGGAUAAUAUAUUGAACCGCAUGGUUCAAUAGUGAAAGACGGUUUUGCUGUCACUUAUAGAUGGAUCCGCGCCGCAUUAGCUAGUUGGUAAGGUAACGGCUUACCAAGGCAACGAUGCGUAGCCGACCUGAGAGGGUGAUCGGCCACACUGGAACUGAGACACGGUCCAGAGUCCUACGGGAGGCAGCAGUAGGGAAUCUUCCGCAAUGGGCGAAAGCUUGACGGAGCAACGCCGCGUGAGUGAUGAAGGUCUUCGGAUCGUAAAACUCUGUUAUUAGGGAAGAACAAAUGUGUAAGUAACUAUGCACGUCUUGACGGUACCUAAUCGGAAAGCCACGGCUAACUACGUG
rnacentral:rRNA from 1 species